AAUUAUACUUUUGAAAAUUAUUGAUCAAUAUCCUUUACUUAUUGUUAUUAAACAUUCAUUAGGUCCGUCUGCACAAGUCUCGACGCAGCCUCACAGAUUGAGCCCUGUACGUCCACAGUCAGAUUACUUCGGUGACGAGGCCGGUCCGUCUUCGGCGGCCCCACACCCUACCCCCCCCCCCCCGCAACGUACUACGGCACGUCAGCGUGGCCUUCUUCUGCUGCACCGUCGUACCACGCAGGCCCCUCCAGCCAGUACACAUGGACGCCUGCCGAGCCUUCACAGUCCUCCUACCCUAGUCAGGAGGAUGAGGCUGGCCCCGACACCGCAUACGACAUCGUCCGUGACUUCUUCGGGGGCACACCUGACUAUGACGUCCUUCAGCGGUCCCAGGUUUCCAGUGCACCGCUUCGGACCCAGCCCACGCACGACGAGCCCUCGACACCGGUGGUCCCUACUAGGCCUACCAGACACGUCGGCCCACCUGACCCCCUCACCUACUCCAGGGGUCACGUGAGGGUUAACCAGCGGCAUCGGGACCACGAUGGGGCGCACGGACGACGGCAACGAGGGAGGCAUGAGUAGCAUUUUACAUUUUUUGUAACUAACAUAUGCGUAUUCGUUUCGUGAUGUGCUCAUAUGUAUUAAGACACGUUCACUUUGUAUGGUCGACUUAGCAUUUCGUAAAUGCAUUUCAUAUUCAGACACGUUCAAUGAACAAGUGACCACACCACUAAACUUUAACCAUGACUUGACAACACAUGCCUCCUGCCGCAGGCUUUAAACAAGAUGUGACAACACUACCCAGCUUUUUCAAAUCAGUAAAUGACAACACGGGUACCAAUAAACGUGGAAUCUCUGACCAUGGGCAACGACAAAACUGUCACAUUCUUCAAGAUGGAAUCCGAUGCUCCUCCCGCCAGCUACGUC